UGAGGAAUAUUGGUCAAUGGGCGAGAGCCUGAACCAGCCAAGUAGCGUGCAGGAUGACGGCCCUAUGGGUUGUAAACUGCUUUUAUGCGGGGAUAAAGUGGGGGAUGCAUCCCUUUUUGCAGGUACCGCAUGAAUAAGGACCGGCUAAUUCCGUGCCAGCAGCCGCGGUAAUACGGAAGGUCCGGGCGUUAUCCGGAUUUAUUGGGUUUAAAGGGAGCGUAGGCUGGAGAUUAAGCGUGUUGUGAAAUGCCGCGGCUCAACCGUGGCACUGCAGCGCGAACUGGUUUCCUUGAGUGCGCUGAAAGUGGGCGGAAUUUGUGGUGUAGCGGUGAAAUGCUUAGAUAUCACGCAGAACUCCGAUCGCGAAGGCAGCUUGCCAAGCCAUAACUGACACUGAAGCACGAAAG
rnacentral:rRNA from 1 species